UCUGGCGGGCAAUUAGCGCGGUGGUCCCACCUGACCUGCUGCCGAACUCAGAAGUGAAACGCCGUAGCGCCGAUGGUAGUGGGUCUCCCAUGCGAGAGAGUAGGAACUGCCAGCA
rnacentral:rRNA from 1 species